rnacentral:tmRNA from 1 species
GGGGUUGUUACGGAUUCGACAGGCACUGCCUGCGCACCAAUUGCAACUGCUGGCGGCACCAGGAUAAUCAGCCGCAGAAAAAUAACUGCAAAAAAUACAAACACUUACGCAAUGGCUGCCUAAACACCAGCUUGCGUGACUUUCACAGCAUCGCCGAUGUGUCGCUGAAAGUCCAAUUUUAGUCGGAUAAGCGAACUGCAGCGUUUCGGGUGGUUCGAUGAAAAUUUAGAAACUCGCGUGUGAUGUGUUUUUGAGACUUUUUGACUCACAGGUUAAAUUUCAGGAAGUCCUAUGGUUGUAGAUGUUGAUGAUGCAAGGUGUUUGGACGCGGGUUCAAUUCCCGCCAGCUCCAA